rnacentral:rRNA from 1 species
AUUGAACGCUUGCGGCCGGCCUAAAAAAUGCAAGUCGGACGCGUGGCGGACGGGGGGGUAAUGUCUGGGAAACUGCCUGAUGGAGGGGGAUAACUACUGGAAACGGUAGCUAAUACCGCAUACCAUCAGAUGUGCCCAGCUGGGAUUAGCUAGUUGGGUGGGUAACGGCUCACCAAGGCGACGAUCCCUAGCUGGUCUGAGAGGAUGACCAGCCACACUGGAACUGAGACACGGUCCAGACUCCUACGGGAGGCAGCAGUGGGGAAUAUUGCACAAUGGGCGCAAGCCUGAUGCAGCCAUGCCGCGUGUAUGAAGAAGGCCUUCGGGUUGUAAAGUACUUUCAGCGGGGAGGCGUUACCCGCAGAAGAAGCACCGGCUAACUCCGUGCCAGCAGCCGCGGUAAUUC